rnacentral:rRNA from 1 species
UACAGAGGUCUCAAGCGUUGUUCGGAUUCAUUGGGCGUAAAGGGUGCGUAGGCGGCGCGGUAAGUCGGGUGUGAAAUCUUGGAGCUUAACUCCGAAACUGCAUUCGAUACUGCCGUGCUUGAGGACUGGAGAGGAGACUGGAAUUCAUGGUGUAGCAGCGAAAUGCGUAGAGAUCAUGAGGAAGACCAGUGGCGAAGGCGGGUCUCUGGACAUUUCCUAACGCUGAGGCACGAAAGCCAGGGGAGCAAACGGG